rnacentral:lncRNA from 1 species
UUAGAAAGACUUGAAAAAUAUUUGUAUCCAAUUCUUGCCAAAUUAGCUUAAAUUUAUGUCCUUGGCUUGAAACCAAGAAACAGAAAAAACACUUCCUCCAAUUCUUGCCAAUUCUUGCUUCUUUCGAUUAUGCAAGAAAAUGUUUAAUUAAAUAGUCUAUAAAGAUGAUACUUAAAGUUGUUGAGGAAAUAAGUCUAGCAAGCUGAAACAUCAGUGUUCCUUCAUCUGGGGAGUUUUGGAUCUUCUUCCUUCAUUUCAAAGUAAAGUAAUAUUUACACUUUUCCUUGCCCUUGUUACUGUAAUACCCUGUUUCAGUAUUUAAUAAGUGAGAAAGGAUUACGAUGGGAAGUAUUCGAAGCUAUUCUUUAAAGCUACUAAACAUACUUUGGGUUUGGCAAUCUUAAUGAAAACAAUUACUCUUGGCUUUAGUUAGCCAAAAUAUGGUUAUGUAAGACAAAAAGGUCGCAACAGAGGUUAGUAUGUUUUAUACUUCUUAAAGUUGAAAUUCUACACAAAUGGAUCAUCAUGGUUUGAUUCUUGGUUAUUUGUGAAGAAACAAUUUAUGUGCUACAAAAUGGAAGCAUGUCACUUGGUUUUAGCAUUAAGAUAAGGCUUUCAUCUCUUUUGAUUUCAUUUAUUUCUUGACUUUCACAAUUGAUGAAACUAAAAGCGUGUCUCUUGGCCAUCUAGCAUUAUUCCUUCAAAAGAUUUUCCUAAAGGUCUUUAAAUUUCUUAUUAGCUGAUUUUCCACGUCAACAAGUUAGUCAAUUCUAAGUAUGGCUUGGGGAGAAUCUGGAUGAUAUGGUGUGAUUUUACUCUUGUUUUUUAUCGAUUUAUAUUUGAUGUAUGAUGGUCACACUUUAUGAGGAUUCCAGUCGGCUUUGGCUUUAUCCUUAGUAUUUGUCGUUGCUAAUUGUUUAAUUUGCCGAUCACUUUUUAGCUCAAGAUACAGUUUCUUUAUGUUCACUAUUAUUUAGUGUGCCCAUUUUGUGAUCCAGAAUAGUGAAAAAGUGAUGUGGUACUCAUUUUUGGAAAUCUAUGACUAUUCAUGGGAAUUUUUUUUAGAUUGCAGUUAGUUUGUUCUAUUUCUAUCUUAUAUUUCAUAAACUCCUCGAUAGCAGUUGAUUCUAAAAUAUUAUUUACUUUGUUUAGAAUCUUCAUUGAUCGCAUUAUCCAUCAAUCCCAGAACUUUGUUGGUUUCUUUAAGUCUUUAGUGGCGAGUUUGGUCGCUACAACAAGGUUAAUUUCAUGUAGUGUUCCUUGGGCAUGAUCUAUACGACACAAACGAACGAGAAAAUGUACAACUUUCAUAAAUGACUCUAUUCAUAGAAAUGUUAGAGAUGCAUAUGUUCUUGAAUUUCUAUGUGUCAUAUUAUUAUACCUUAUGUUCAUGGGUCUCAGAAUAAUACGCAGUUGAUAAAGUUUAUUCGAAAGGAAUAUUGGGAUUAUUACAUAUUUUCAUGCAUUUCAUUCAUGUAUACAUGUGCAUUUACCCAUGACUCAGACGGCGUUAUAUACACGUAUAUAUGUAUAUAUAUGUAUAUGGGAUACGGAAAAAGGUUACGACGUUAUAUACGCAUUGCCACCUGAUCAGCUGGUAUAUGUUGAUGAUUUGCCCACAGUGGUCGAGAUGAUAUGAUGGGAUGCCCUCAGAGGCGUAAUGAUGUUAUGGCGUUAUAUAUAUAUUAUGUACUUUUUUAUGUGCCUUAUGUACUCGGUACAUUAUUCGUAUUGAUGUCCCUUUUGCCUGAGGACGCUGAAUUCAUGUCUGCAGUUAUAGAUAAUCAGUUUGACGAGCCCUCAUAGUAGACAAGAUUGGCAUUCAAUGAAUGAUCGGUAAGACUCCACCUCAUUCGGGGUACAACCAAGUUUAUGAGUUAUCGUAUCACAGUUUUGCUACAGACUUAUGGGUAGGCCGGUACCCUAUCCCAUUUGAUAUAAAAAAAAUCUUAGAGGCUUUGUAGACAGAGGUUAAUUUUGUAUAGUAUAUCAGAGGCCUUGACGGCUCAUAUGUAUUCAUGUUUUAAGAAAAAAUGGUUCAGAGAUACAAUAUUGUUCACUUACAAUUGUAUAUUAUGAGUUGUGACAAUGUUGCCCCAUGAUAGUUACAAAAGGAAUGAAUGAGUUUCAGAGUGGUUCGCUCGGGCCAGUGCGGCACCGGGUGCCAGCCACGCCUUCCAAGGUUGGGGCAUGACAGUGGUAAGUAGAUGAUCAAGCCAAACUUUAAUUUCUUCAUUUUGAACUUUUUGGCUUUCAUGUGAGGAAUGUCAUUUUGCCUCCUUGUACAUUCAAAUUGUAAAAUGUAUGGCCUUUGUCUUUUCUACUUGCAAUCCCUCACUGAUACGUUUAGUUCAAUUCCCAUAUCACCAUACAAUUCUAAUGUUGAAAAAUGCUUGGAAUGGGACAUCAACCCUCC